UGUAGGAUCUUUAGUUGUUGGAAGUGAAGCAAAACAACCAGAUGUGCAUGUCAAGAAGGAGUAGGUAGUUGGGUUACACUCACCCCCACAAGGUCGACCUAAAUGCACAACAAAACCACCUCCUUGUGGGACAGGUGGUCACAAAGUAGGACACAAGGCUGGCCCCACGCAACGCAAGGAGCUUGACCAAGGAGAUGCAAUACCCCCUCCCCCACAUACCAGACACUAUACAAGACAGCACAAGCGUAAAAUGUAUUAGGGCAGAGUUGAUUGAUCCAGCAGUGAAGGGAACAAAUCAUGGUAUUUGUGCUUUGUGCAUUAAGCUGGCACCAACAUAACCAUAUUAUUGCAUUUAUAUCUGGGCCAAGUCAAAUCAUGGUUCGUGACUAUGAAGAUUCAGGUCUGUAACUUAUGCAUGCUAUCAAUAAUUAUUGAUAUAUUCCAAUUAAAAUUAUCCCAUUUUAACUUUUUAAGUAGAAUUCUUUUACUUAAAGUAUUUUUUAUAAUGCUAAUAUUAUGGAAUGUUUUUGAAAUUUUCAGAAAUUGAUAAAAAUUAUUAAUUAGGAAGAUUAUUAAUUUUUUUUUGAGAGGAUUAGGAAGAUUAUUAAAACCUUAGUGCACAAAGUUCGAUGAUUACUAUGAUAAGAUCUUGAGCUAUUUCAUCAUGCUGGCUGGCAUCUUUUAUUGGUAGAAAACCCAAUUUUGGCAGUGAUCUUUGGUGAACUUGCGAAUUUUGUUGGUUACAUGUUUGCUCCUGCUGUGCUUGUCACGCCACUGGGAGCUCUGAGCAUAAUUGUUACGUACACCAGAUGCCUUCGGUUUCAAUUCUAGUGAUGCUGCGCUUGGUUGCAAUAGGAUUAGGACCAGAUUUUAUUUGAAAUUCCAAAUCUUUGGAAGUCAGAUUCCUGGAUUAACCAUGGAGUAGUUGCUGUUAUUUGAAUCCAAUGUCAGUCCAGUUUGUAUUGAUGUGAUAACCAAACAUUUUUUGGAAUUAGAUUUCGGCUUCCGUCUCUAUUCCAUGGUCUCAUUUUCUUGCAACCAAAUGCAUCGUUUUGUUUCAGUUGAAGAACUUUGUGAUUUUGACUUUGUGUCUGUUUUUUGGAAGUUCUGUUCUAGCACGCUUCUUUUUGAAGGAAAAGCUGCAGAAAAUGGGUAUACUGGGUGGAUUUGAACUCUUUACGUCCCAUAUAAUAUACAUGCAUAGUCAAAUUCUAGCCCCCCACUGACAGCAAUCUCAUUCAAAGAAAAUUGAAGUUACCAAACUCAUUGCCCUUAUAUUUCAACGAGAAAGAGCGUGGCUGAAGCAAAAUCAAAACCUCAAAUGCUUGCUGCUUCAAAUGGCUUAUGGGCACCACAAACUCAAUUCUCUCCUCUAAUUUCUGCACAUUCGUCUCAAGAGCAAGGAGCUUCAGAUGUCUCUUCUGUUCUAUUUUAUCGGAUGGUUUGAAUGGACAGAUUCUUGAUCUUCUGAAAUUUUAAGAAAUACACUUCCUGUGAGUGUGAGAUAUCUUGGAGGAACGUAAAACUUUUUUUGGUUGAGUUUGGAGAUUAUGAUAAGGCUUUGUGGGCUGCUUCAAAAAUCAGGAACCUAUUCAUGUGCUGAGACUUGGGAACCAGUUAAGAUUCAAUGCUCCAGUUCUUGUAGAUAAGUUUUGAGUACAGCAGGAGUUCUAAGUUUUGAGUGCUUGUAAGGGCUUUUUUUUUUUUUGCCUGCUCUAUCUUAAGAGCAUUAAAAAAAUAGUGUAGAUGUACAGGCAUUUAUGGCAAUAUUAUCAUGUUAUUUGUAA